CCGCCUCCCGCGGCCAUCGCCGGGCCCGCUCCCGCCGCCGACGCCCAGGUGCGCCAGGUGCGGGCCGGGCCGGCCGGGCGGGGGUCG
rnacentral:miRNA from 1 species